rnacentral:siRNA from 1 species
GGGUGGCCACACGUUUAUUAUGGC